AACGCUGGCGGCAUGCCUUACACAUGCAAGUCGAACGGCAGCAUGGAGGAGCUUGCUCCUCUGAGUGGCGAGUGGCGAACGGGUGAGUAAAGCAUCGGAACGUACCGUGUAGUGGGGGAUAACGUAGCGAAAGUUACGCUAAUACCGCAUACGCACUGAGGUGGAAAGCAGGGGAUCGCAAGACCUUGCGCUAUACGAGCGGCCGAUGUCAGAUUAGCUAGUUGGUAGGGUAAAGGCCUACCAAGGCGACGAUCUGUAGCGGGUCUGAGAGGAUGAUCCGCCACACUGGGACUGAGACACGGCCCAGACUCCUACGGGAGGCAGCAGUGGGGAAUUUUGGACAAUGGGGGAAACCCUGAUCCAGCCAUGCCGCGUGAGUGAAGAAGGCCUUCGGGUUGUAAAGCUCUUUCGGCUGGGAAGAAAUCGCACAGGCUAAUACUCUGUGUGGAUGACGGUACCAGCAUAAGAAGCACCGGCUAACUACGUG
rnacentral:rRNA from 1 species